AGAUUAAGUUAUUAAGGGCGCACGGUGGAUGCCUUGGCACUAGAAGCCGAAGAAGGACGUUACUAACGACGAUAUGCUUUGGGUAGCUGUAAGUAAGCGUUGAUCCAGAGAUUUCCGAAUGGGGGAACCCAACAUGAGUUAUGUCAUGUUAUCGACAUGUGAAUUCAUAGCAUGUCAGAAGGCAGACCCGGAGAACUGAAACAUCUUAGUACCCGGAGGAAGAGAAAGAAAAAUCGAUUCCCUGAGUAGCGGCGAGCGAAACGGGAAGAGCCCAAACCAACAAGCUUGCUUGUUGGGGUUGUAGGACACUCUAUACGGAGUUACAAAAGAACAUGUUAGACGAAUCAUCUGGAAAGAUGAAUCAAAGAAGGUAAUAAUCCUGUAGUCGAAAACAUAUUCUCUCUUGAGUGGAUCCUGAGUACGACGGAGCACGUGAAAUUCCGUCGGAAUCUAGGAGGACCAUCUCCUAAGGCUAAAUACUCUCUAGUGACCGAUAGUGAACCAGUACCGUGAGGGAAAGGUGAAAAGUACCCCGGAAGGGGAGUGAAAGAGAACUUGAAACCGUGUGCUUACAAGUAGUCAGAGCCCGUUUAUGGGUGAUGGCGUGCCUUUUGUAGAAUGAACCGGCGAGUUACGAUCUGAUGCAAGGUUAAGCAGCGAAUGUGGAGCCGUAGCGAAAGCGAGUCUGAAUAGGGCGUUGAGUAUUUGGUCGUAGACCCGAAACCAGGUGAUCUACCCUUGGUCAGGUUGAAGUUCAGGUAACACUGAAUGGAGGACCGAACCGACUUACGUUGAAAAGUGAGCGGAUGAACUGAGGGUAGCGGAGAAAUUCCAAUCGAACUUGGAGAUAGCUGGUUCUCUCCGAAAUAGCUUUAGGGCUAGCCUCAAGUGAUGAUUAUUGGAGGUAGAGCACUGUUUGGACGAGGGGCCCCUCUCGGGUUACCGAAUUCAGACAAACUCCGAAUGCCAAUCAAUUUAACUUGGGAGUCAGAACAUGGGUGAUAAGGUCCGUGUUCGAAAGGGAAACAGCCCAGACCACCAGCUAAGGUCCCAAAAUAUAUGUUAAGUGGAAAAGGAUGUGGCGUUGCCCAGACAACUAGGAUGUUGGCUUAGAAGCAGCCAUCAUUUAAAGAGUGCGUAAUAGCUCACUAGUCGAGUGACACUGCGCCGAAAAUGUACCGGGGCUAAACAUAUUACCGAAGCUGUGGAUUGUCCUUCGGACAAUGGUAGGAGAGCGUUCUAAGGGCGUUGAAGCAUGAUCGCAAGGACAUGUGGAGCGCUUAGAAGUGAGAAUGCCGGUGUGAGUAGCGAAAGACGGGUGAGAAUCCCGUCCACCGAUUGACUAAGGUUUCCAGAGGAAGGCUCGUCCGCUCUGGGUUAGUCGGGUCCUAAGCUGAGGCCGACAGGCGUAGGCGAUGGAUAACAGGUUGAUAUUCCUGUACCACCUAGUAUCGUUUUAAUCGAUGGGGGGACGCAGUAGGAUAGGCGAAGCGUGCUGUUGGAGUGCACGUCCAAGCAGUAAGGCUGAGUGUUAGGCAAAUCCGGCACUCGUUAGGCUGAGCUGUGAUGGGGAGAGGAAAUUGUUUCCUCGAGUCGUUGAUUUCACACUGCCGAGAAAAGCCUCUAGAUAGAUAACAGGUGCCCGUACCGCAAACCGACACAGGUAGUCAAGAUGAGAAUUCUAAGGUGAGCGAGCGAACUCUCGUUAAGGAACUCGGCAAAAUGACCCCGUAACUUCGGGAGAAGGGGUGCUCUUUAGGGUUCACGCCCAGAAGAGCCGCAGUGAAUAGGCCCAAGCGACUGUUUAUCAAAAACACAGGUCUCUGCUAAACCGUAAGGUGAUGUAUAGGGGCUGACGCCUGCCCGGUGCUGGAAGGUUAAGAGGAGUGGUUAGCUUCUGCGAAGCCACGAAUCGAAGCCCCAGUAAACGGCGGCCGUAACUAUAACGGUCCUAAGGUAGCGAAAUUCCUUGUCGGGUAAGUUCCGACCCGCACGAAAGGCGUAACGAUUUGGGCACUGUCUCAACGAGAGACUCGGUGAAAUCAUAGUACCUGUGAAGAUGCAGGUUACCCGCGACAGGACGGAAAGACCCCGUGGAGCUUUACUGUAGCCUGAUAUUGAAAUUCGGCACAGCUUGUACAGGAUAGGUAGGAGCCAUUGAAACGUGAGCGCUAGCUUACGUGGAGGCGUUGGUGGGAUACUACCCUAGCUGUGUUGGCUUUCUAACCCGCACCACUUAUCGUGGUGGGAGACAGUGUCAGGCGGGCAGUUUGACUGGGGCGGUCGCCUCCUAAAAGGUAACGGAGGCGCUCAAAGGUUCCCUCAGAAUGGUUGGAAAUCAUUCACAGAGUGUAAAGGCAUAAGGGAGCUUGACUGCGAGACYUACAAGUCGAGCAGGGUCGAAAGACGGACUUAGUGAUCCGGUGGUUCCGCAUGGAAGGGCCAUCGCUCAACGGAUAAAAGCUACCCCGGGGAUAACAGGCUUAUCUCCCCCAAGAGUUCACAUCGACGGGGAGGUUUGGCACCUCGAUGUCGGCUCAUCGCAUCCUGGGGCUGUAGUCGGUCCCAAGGGUUGGGCUGUUCGCCCAUUAAAGCGGUACGCGAGCUGGGUUCAGAACGUCGUGAGACAGUUCGGUCCCUAUCCGUCGUGGGCGUAGGAAAUUUGAGAGGWGCUGUCCUUAGUACGAGAGGACCGGGAUGGACAUACCUCUGGUGUACCAGUUGUCGUGCCAACGGCAUAGCUGGGUAGCUAUGUAUGGACGGGAUAAGUGCUGAAAGCAUCUAAGCAUGAAGCCCCCCUCAAGAUGAGAUUUCCCAACUUCGGUUAUAAGAUCCCUCGAAGAUGACGAGGUUAAUAGGUUCGAGGUGGAAGCGUGGUGACACGUGGAGCUGACGAAUACUAAUCGAUCGAAGACUUAAUCAAU
rnacentral:rRNA from 1 species